UUCGUCCUUGUCCUCACUUUUAGUCAUUGCGUGCUUAUAGUUCUUGAAUCGGAUUCAGUACCAAAGCAGAGUCGACCGGCUUCUUUCGACGCGCUUGUAUUCUCCUCUGCCUUGAAAAAAUCUAACCAAUGUUGAUGCCUCCCGCUGAAUUGGGGAUGAAGAGGCCUGAAGUGUGGUGUAUGAAUGGCUAUGGAGGUUUUUGAUCAAUUCGUGGCCAGACGGGACCAUCACUACAAUUUGUUGGACUAUUUCCGCUGGUACUACUUUGUUUUAAAUGAAAUUCUCCUCAAAAUUCCUUUCAAAUGGAAUAUCAAUAUGAAGAAUAAAAGCAAGACCAAUGUAUUUUAUACAUCUUUGCCUCUGGUGGUACAAAUUGCUCUGCUAUCAGAUAGGCAUCUGAAUACUCGGAUAUGAUAUGUGGGUAUUCUUCUUUAUCUUAUCCUGUUAGUGGGUGAUAUUCUGCUGUUAUACUGCCUAUUUGUUGUUUUUCUGUCUCGUAAAUGUCUUUUAAUUCAUAAUAGUUCCCACAGCUGCUUAGAUAAUGUAUAGAUGGGAUCGUCUGAGGUUCACUGAGGCAUCAAAGAUUGUAAUUCUAAAUACAAAGUACUAACAAUAUUUAGUGGGUCACGAUUUUUAUUUUCUUAAUAGUUUUUGUGAUCUUCCUCCUGGUCCUUACUCUUUUGUUUCCUUCGUAUGGCUUUUAAGGUCAGAGGCAUUUAGAGGCAUUACUUAUACCAAACCGAUCCCUUAAAGAGCUUUUCCUCUAGUCGAGAGAAACGCGAAUGUUUAUACUUGUGAUUGUGGUGAGGCAACAACAUCUAUGGAACUUUCCUCUUCCAGCAUAUUUUGAGCUCCUAUAUCCAGUGCCCUUGUAGUUAUAGCAUUUUUUCUUUUUCACUUUGCUCAAUUUUAAAAAACUCUUCCAUGAAAUCAAUGAAUGACAUAACUUUCAAACUUCUGACUUCUUAAUCAUUUUCCGUUCCUCAAUUUAAAAAAGUCUUACACGAAACAAUUGAAUGACGUAAAUUUCAACAUUCUGGCUUCAUAGCCUUUUUCCCUUUACUUUAAAAAUCUUCCACGAAAUGAUCGAAGGAUAUAACUCUAAAAACUCUGGCUGUAUGCUAUUUCAUACCAAAAUUUCAGCUUGAAUACUGCUGUGGCGCCAAACAUUUAAUUGGACCACAGGUUUCUCGCACCAAUUUAUGUGUUGCCAUUUCUAGGCACUCUUCUCGUUGGUAUCCAUUGGAAAAUUAAAUUAAAGAGUCAUCCAUUGCAAGAGGAACAACUCUCCUUCUCUCUCUCUCUCCGCCCCCCCGCCCCCCGUUCAAAUUUGCUUUUAUUGCUUAUCGUUUCAAGUACAUUCUGCAUCGUUGACAGUUUACUCGGACAGGUUCAGGUGCUUCGUUUUCAUACGAGAAGUUAUCAAUUGCUCCAAUUCAGAAAGGAGAAGGUGGCUGAUCCACGUCUAUUCAUGAUGGUAAAUUUGACCCAAUUGCAGGGUGUUUUGGAAGAAACCAUAUCUUUGGACUGGCGAAAAUCAACAGCUUGUCCAACUUCGUGGCUAUAAAAUCCCAAGUUUUGGCCCAACAUCAGCACAGCUGGCCAUCCCUACCGUAUACGACUCUCAUAAUUGUUCAUGAGACUGAUGUUUAACAUCUUACUUGAAUUCUCUUAAUUAUUGAGCAUUAAUUAUUGACUAAUUAAGUCAUAUUUAGGAAUGCACAUGAAUCUUUGUAAUACCACAUUAAUUUGGAAAUCAUGUAUAUGUCCUAUUAAUUUGUAUUCAUUCUUAGUAAUAUUUGUGGUAGUGGCAACUUCAACGUGGUAAGUUGUAUUGUAACCAUUCUCCUCUUAUCCGAAGAUAUAUCUUUUGUCUCUCUUAA